GGGGGAUUAGCUCAAAACAUAGAGCGCCCGCUUAGCAUGCGGGAGGUACAGGGAUCGAUACCCGGAUUCUCCA
rfam:Nematostella vectensis strain CH2 x CH6 NEMVEscaffold_326_Cont23914, whole genome shotgun sequence.